GAUGAACGCUGGCGGCGUGCCUAAUACAUGCAAGUCGAGCGAACAGACGAGGAGCUUGCUCCUUCGACGUUAGCGGCGGACGGGUGAGUAACACGUAGGUAACCUACCUAUAAGACUGGGAUAACUUCGGGAAACCGGAGCUAAUACCGGAUAAUAUUUCGAACCGCAUGGUUCGAUAGUGAAAGAUGGCUUUGCUAUCACUUAUAGAUGGACCUGCGCCGUAUUAGCUAGUUGGUAAGGUAACGGCUUACCAAGGCAACGAUACGUAGCCGACCUGAGAGGGUGAUCGGCCCCACUGGAACUGAGACCCGGUCCAGACUCCUACGGGAGGCAGCAGUAGGGAAUCUUCCGCAAUGGGCGAAAGCCUGACGGAGCAACGCCGCGUGAGUGAUGAAGGUCUUCGGAUCGUAAAACUCUGUUAUUAGGGAAGAACAAACGUGUAAGUAACUGUGCACGUCUUGACGGUACCUAAUCAGAAAGCCACGGCUAACUACGU
rnacentral:rRNA from 1 species